UAUCUAUGUUGUCUUAUAUUGUUUGUGCUUAUACUGUAUGUACCUACGUUGGCUUAUGUUGUUUGUGCUUAUACUGCAUGUACCUACGUUGCCUUAUGUUGUAUACACCUCUGUUGUGCCAAUUAUGAUCGGAGCUGCCUUGCCCGGGCACGUAGUCACGCUUAGGUAGAGCAGUUAUAAAGCUUUGCCGUUCAUCUGUUCUCUACGGGGUUUGGGGUACAACACUGAUGGGCCCAGAGCUGGUAUAGCUCCUAGCUCUCAGAUAGUCAGUCACUGACCGCCUCCCCUUGUCUCGUAGGUCCCCGGGUCCCUACAGAAUUUCCUGGAAUCUACCAUUUGACAUGGAGGUCCUGCGGUCAGAAGAAGCGUUUAAGCAUAUUCUUCAGUGCAGCAUUUCACGGGGGGUUUUCAUCAGGCAGGAGGAUUUUUUGGGAGUCUCCGGAGCGAGUUGCCGUGAAUGUGAGUUUGUGCGUAACGCGAAGGGGGCGUGCACGUCAGCGGAGCGUUCUGCGCCGUUUUUGUUCCGGGUGCAUCAUAACAAUAAAAGCGUUGUGGACUUUUCUGAAAUGGA